rnacentral:rRNA from 1 species
ACGCAGACCCGAAACCGGGUGAUCUAUCCAUGUCCAGGUUGAAGUUGUCGUAAAAGACAAUGGAGGACCGAAGCCACAUCCGUUGAAAAGGGUGGGCAUGAGGUGUGGAUAGGGGAGAAAUUCCAAUCGAACCCGGAGAUAGCUGGUUCUCCUCGAAAUAGCUUUAGGGCUAGCCUCGAUUUAGUCUUAUGGAGGUAGAGCACUGAAUUUCCGCGGGGGCGUCAAAGCUUACCAAAGAAUAUCAAACUCCGAAUGCCAUGUAGAUGAUGAUCGGGAGUCAGACUGCACGAGAUAAGUUGGGCAGUCAAAAGGGAAAGAGCCCAGACCACCGGCUAAGGUCCCAAAGUGCGUGUUAAGUGGAAAAGGAUGUGGGAAUUCGAAGACAACUAGGAUGUUGGCUCAGAAGCAGCCAUACAUUCAAAGAGUGCGUAACAGCUCACUAGUCGAGAGUUCCUGCGCCGAAAAUGUCCGGGGCUGAAACACGACACCGAAGCCGUGGACUCGCAAUGCGAGUGGUAGAGGAGCAUUCUUAAAACCGACGAAGCUGUACCGAAAGGAGCAGUGGAGGGAUAAGAAGAGAGAAUGCCGGAAUGAGUAGCGAGAGAAAGGUGGGAAUCCUUUCGGCCGAAUAUCUAAGGUUUCCAGAGUAAAGCUGAUCUGCUCUGGGUAAGUCGGGGCCUAAGCACAGGUCGCAAGACGUAAGCGAUGGAUAACAGGUUUAGAUUCCUGUACCACGCAUUAUCAGAACUGUAGGGACGCAUGUGGAAAGCACGAGCCGGGAAUGGAAAGACCGGUACAAGCGGGGUAGGUGUACAAUAGGCAAAUCCGUUGUAUAAUCCGAAGACGUGAUGUGGAGCGAAAUAAAGUAGUGAAGCGUGUGAGCCAUGUGCCGAGAAAAGCUGCUAUUGUGUAAUGCGUGCCCGUACCGUAAACCGACACAGGUGGAUGAGGAGAGAAUCCUAAGGCCGACGGAAGAAGCAUUGUUAAGGAAUUCGGCAAAAUGACCCCGUAACUUCGGGAGAAGGGGUGCCUGCGAGAGCAGGCCGCAGAGAAUAGGCUCAAGCAACUGUUUAGCAAAAACACAGGUCUAUGCGAAACCGAAAGGUGAAGUAUAUGGGCUGACGCCUGCCCGGUGCUGGAAGGUUAAGAGGAGAGGUUAGCGUAAGCGAAGCUUUGAAUUUAAGCCCCAGUAAACGGCGGCCGUAACUAUAACGGUCCUAAGGUAGCGAAAUUCCUUGUCGGGUAAGUUCCGACCCGCACGAAAGGCGUAAUGAUUUGAGCACUGUCUCGACAAUGCAUCCGGUGAAAUUGAAGUACCAGUGAAGAUGCUGGUUACCCGCGCCAGGACGGAAAGACCCCAUGGAGCUUUACUCCAGUUUGAUACUGGGAUUCGGUACUGCAUGUACAGGAUAGGUGGGAGACGAAGAAGGAUGGACGCCAGUCUGUCCGGAGUCGCUGUUGGGAUACCACCCCUGUAGUACUGGGUUUCUAACCAGUUGCCAUGAACUGGCAAUGGGACAAUGUCAGGCGGGGAGUUUGACUGGGGCGGUCGCCUCCGAAAGGGUAUCGGAGGCGCUCAAAGGUUCCCUCAGAAUGGUUGGAAACCAUUUGAAGAGUGCAAAGGCAGAAGGGAGCUUGACUGCGACACCGACGGGUGGAGCAGGUACGAAAGUAGGACUUAGUGAUCCGGUGGUAUAAAGUGGGAUUGCCAUCGCUCAACGGAUAAAAGCUACCCUGGGGAUAACAGGCUUAUCACUCCCAAGAGUUCACAUCGACGGAGUGGUUUGGCACCUCGAUGUCGGCUCAUCGCAUCCUGGGGCUGUAGCAGGUCCCAAGGGUUGGGCUGUUCGCCCAUUAAAGCGGUACGCGAGCUGGGUUCAGAACGUCGUGAGACAGUUCGGUCCCUAUCCGGCGCGGGCGGAGGAUAUUUGAGAGGAGCUGUCCUUAGUACGAGAGGACCGGGAUGGACGGACCACUGGUGUAUCUGUUGUCGACCAACGGCAUGGCAGAGUAGCCAAGUCUGGAAGGGAUAAACGCUGAAGGCAUCUAAGCGUGAAGCCCCCCUCAAGAUGAGAUAUCCCUCCUUCGGGAGUAAGACCCCUUGA